AGCGGGGAGCCCCCCCCACGCGUGUACCGACAGCGGACAGGGCCGGCGGGCGCCUCCCGCUCCGCACCCGCGGCGGGGCGUGUCCCGCGCCCUGCCCCGCCCCGGGACCGGCCGCGCUCCUCCCGCCGCGCUGGCACCGCCGCUGCUGCCCAGGUGGGGAUCGACGCGGAGCCGGGACACCUCCAGUACCAUGCGAGGAUGUGCCCGCACCCUCGCUGACUUGCCCGCCCCCGCUGCCUGUCCCGCCCGGCACCAUGGGAGGAUGCUUCUCCAAGCCCAAACCAGUUGAGGUGAAAAUUGAAGUUGUGAUACCUGAGAAGGAGAGAAGCAAGGAGGAGAUGUCACCCAAUGGGAAAGCCAGCCCUCUGAUCUACAAAGUCAAUGGGACUGCCCGGCACUACCACCUUGAGGAGCAUCCAAUUGCCAGCAACCCCUACCACAACCCAAAGGAUGUGGUAGAAGCAUCUGUGUGCCAUGUAAAGGACCUGGAGAAUGGACAGAUGCGGGAAGUGGACCUGGGCUGUGGGAAGGCUCUGCUCAUCAAAGAAAGUGGGGAGUUCCACGCCGUGGGACACAAGUGUCCCCACUAUGGGGCUCCUCUGGUCAAAGGGGUUUUGUCCAAAGGAAGAGUCCGCUGUCCCUGGCAUGGAGCUUGCUUCAAUAUCGGCACAGGUGACAUUGAGGACUUUCCCGGCCUGGAUAGUUUACCCAGGUUCCAGGUGAAGAUUGAGAAGGAGAAGGUAUACAUCCGAGCAAGCAAGCAGACUCUUCAGACACAGAGGAGGACAAAGAUGAUGGCAAAGUGCAUCUCCUUGAGCAACUACAACCUGAGCAGCACCAAUGUGCUGAUCAUUGGUGCAGGGGCAGCUGGGCUGGUCUGUGCAGAGACCUUGCGCCAGGAGGGUUUCUCUGACCGGAUUGUGAUGUGCACCAUGGACAGACACUUGCCCUAUGAUAGACCAAAGCUCAGUAAGUCAAUGGAUUCCCAUCCUGAGCAGAUUGCCCUGCGCCCCAAGGAGUUCUUCUGCACCUACGACAUCGAAGUCCUGACUGAAAUGCAGGUGGCGGCUGUGGAUGUCAAGAGCAAGAUAGCUGUGUUCAAGGAUGGGUUUAAGAUGGAAUACAACAAGCUGCUGAUAGCAACGGGAAACACGCCCAAAACUCUCAGCUGCAAAGGCAAGGAGAUGGAAAAUGUUUUCAACAUCCGGACGCCCGAAGAUGCCAAUCGUGUGGUGAAGCUGGCCACGAGCAAGAACGUGGUGAUUGUGGGAGCAUCCUUCCUGGGGAUGGAGGUGGCCGCCUACCUUGCGGAGAGGGCCCACUCGGUGUCCCUGGUGGAGCUGGAGCAUGUCCCCUUCAAGAAGUUCUUUGGGGAGAGGGUUGGCCGUGCUGUCAUGAAGAUGUUCGAGAACAACAGGGUGAAGUUCUACAUGCAGACAGAGGUGUCGGAGCUGCGGGAGCAGGAGGGGAAGCUGAAGGAGGUUGUGCUGAAGAGUGGGAAGGUCCUGCGUGCUGACGUCUGUGUCGUGGGUGUUGGUGCAGUCCCAGCGACAGGCUUCCUCAAGCAGAGUGGCAUCAACAUUGACUCCAAGGGCUUCAUCGUGGUCAACAAGAUGAUGCAGACCAACAUCCCAGGGGUCUUUGCUGCUGGAGAUGCUGUCACAUUUCCAUUGGCCUUGAGGAAUAACAAGAAGGUGAAUGUUCCUCACUGGCAGAUGGCCCACAUGCAUGGCCGCGUCGCUGCGCUGAACAUGCUGGCCCACGGCACGGAGAUCAGCACUGUCCCAUACCUGUGGACAGCUAUGUUUGGGAAGAGCAUCCGAUAUGCGGGCCAUGGGGAAGGAUUUGAUGAUGUUGUCAUCCAGGGAGAUUUAGAUGAACUGAAGUUUGUGGCAUUUUAUACCAAGAGUGACGAGGUGGUGGCUGUGGCCAGCAUGAACUAUGACCCAAUUGUCUCCAAGGUGGCUGAGGUCCUGGCUGCUGGCAGGACCAUCCGGAAGCGCGAUGUAGAGCUGUUUGUCCGUCAUGGCAAGUACGUUUGGUUUGGGGUCCUGAGUGUGCUGGAUGUGAGGGAGGAAGGCAGGAGGGACAGCUGCCCCCCUGACUGGGCCAUACCCCUAAUUCCUAUGUGGGACACUGGCUUCAUGGGGGGUGUCCUUGUUUUUCAUCUCCCUCACAUGGGGGGCAGUGCUGGGUGGUAGGGCUGGGGCUGCCAGGAGCCACAUCAGGCACAGUUCCUGUUGGCUGGGACCUUGCUUGGCUGGGGUUUGGUGGCUUUCCAUGGAUUUUCAGCUGAAGGGCUGCUUUUAAGUAUAAAUAAACAAAAUGUUUGAACUAAGUUUUACACAGAAUCGAGGACCUGCAGGUGACUUUUUGGACAGUUUAGUGACAGAACUGGAGACAUGUCCUGGCUAACAGGGAAAGGCACCUAAAGCCACGGAUGGCUGAGCUCUCCUGAUGCUGCACUCACCGUGGGGAGAUGGGACAGCAGCUUCAUGGCCCGGUGGGAACCCCAUGGUUCAGCCAUUUCCCUUUGAGACCUCUAUGAACCUGGCAUUGUGUCCUGACCUUCCCAGGAGGAUCUCACACAGCUCCUCUGCCCCUGCGCCUGCUGGGCUGGGGCUGGGGCUCUGCUGUUGCAAUUGCUGUGGAAUGCUGGAAAAGCAGCCCACAGAGAGAGUGAGGUUUGGCACUGCCAGCGGGCAUGGGCGCCAUAUGGCUCUGGAUGCUGCCAUCGGGCUGAGGGUCCCCAGGCAGGUCUGCCCCACGCAUGCCCCUCACUCCCAUAAGCAGCAUGAGGGCCUUUGGUUGCUCCUGUGCUUUCAUGCAUGAUGCUCCUUUCCAAUUUCUCUUUGCUCCCAGCAGAGCUCCAAUGUGCAUCCCUGCAGAGCCUGACAUCCACUCCCUUCCUGCAUGGCUGCAGCACUUGCCACAGCUCUCCCUGUGCCCACCCAGCCCAGGGGGCAUUUGGGUGGGCCAGGAGAUUACACUGGGUGAUCUCUGUUCAGCUGGUGCUUGCGUUGUCCAGGCUGGUCCUGUGCAGCCCCACCAGCAGAGCUGGUUCCCUGUCCAUGCUGAGGGCUCUGGAGCUCAUCAGUCCCCCUCCCAGCAUCUCCUGUCCUGGAGCAGCCAAGGGGCUGGGUUUCGUUCCCUGUCUCCUGGGGCUCGGUUUGGGCUGGGGCGCUGGCAGCUCUUGGCCCGUUCCUGGACUGCAUUGCAGGGGUAUCUGAGAGCUGUGGUGGCUCAGCUGCAGCCCUGGACUGGGUGGCCACCCUUCCAGCCAGACUUGGGAUAUGUCUCCUUAAUGCUCUCAUGGGAUCAGUGCUGUUGCUGAGGUGCUACUCGAGGAAAAGUAGCUGGGGGAGCACUUCUGGCUGUCCAUUCUCUGGCACUUGUCUGGUGUAGUGACAAAGCUGUAUUUCCCAGCCCACCAUGCUAGUGCUCUGCUGUCCUGUUUCUGGCCCCAUGCUGAAGAAGAGCCAUAUCUCCAGCUCAGGAGUGGACCUGGCCAGCCACAGCCCAGUGUCCAUCAGCCCAGCAGAGUGGGGAUUGAGGGUCCCCCUUGGAGAGACUCCAGUGCUGUGUUCUGGGGUGACUCCUUCCCCAGCAGCCAGUGUUUUACCCUGAGUCCCAAACAAGAAGAUUUAUAUUUUUAAUUUGAUUCACCCCCUAUGAAUUAAAGCAAUACUGUUCUUGA